GACGAACGCUGGCGGCGUGCCUAAUACAUGCAAGUUGAGCGCUGAAGGUUGGUACUUGUACCAACUGGAUGAGCAGCGAACGGGUGAGUAACGCGUGGGGAAUCUGCCUUUGAGCGGGGGACAACAUUUGGAAACGAAUGCUAAUACCGCAUAAAAACUUUAAACACAAGUUUUAAGUUUGAAAGAUGCAAUUGCAUCACUCAAAGAUGAUCCCGCGUUGUAUUAGCUAGUUGGUGAGGUAAAGGCUCACCAAGGCGAUGAUACAUAGCCGACCUGAGAGGGUGAUCGGCCACAUUGGGACUGAGACAAGGUCCAAACUCCUACGGGAGGCAGCAGUAGGGAAUCUUCGGCAAUAGACGAAAGUCUGACCGAGCAACGCCGCGUGAGUGAAGAAGGUUUUCGGAUCGUAAAACUCUGUUGGUAGAGAAGAACGUUGGUGAGAGUGGAAAGCUCAUCAAGUGACGGUAACUACCCAGAAAGGGACGGCUAACUACGUG
rnacentral:rRNA from 1 species